UUUCCCACCCCCACCUUCCUUCCUUUGUCCUUGCAUUCCGCAGAGCCGCAGUGAGGGUGAUGUGUGGGGCAGGUACUGUUGUUGCAGGGCAGCGAUGUGGCUGAUGGCGUGUCCUUCAUCUUUGUGGUCUCCUUUGCAGCCCCUCCCACCUUUACAGAAACACCCCCCCAGUACAUCGAGGCCAAGGAGGGUAGUAGUAUCACCAUGACCUGCACAGCUUUUGGGAACCCCAAGCCCAUUGUCACCUGGCUCAAGGAGGGGACGCUCCUCGGUGCUAGUGGGAAAUACCAGGUGAGUGACGGCAGCCUGACAGUGACAUCGGUCAGUCGGGAGGACAGAGGUGCCUACACCUGCCGAGCGUACAGCAUUCAGGGGGAGGCUGUCCACACGACCCACCUGCUUGUCCAAGGGCCCCCUUUCAUCGUCUCCCCUCCUGAGAACAUCACCGUCAACAUCUCCCAGGAUGCUCUGCUCACCUGCCGGGCAGAGGCGUAUCCGGGCAACCUCACCUACACCUGGUACUGGCAGGACGAGAACGUCUACUUUCAGAACGACCUGAAGCUGAGGGUGCGCAUCCUAAUCGAUGGGACCCUGAUCAUCUUCCGGGUGAAGCCGGAGGACUCGGGGAAGUACACCUGUGUGCCCAGCAACAGCCUGGGGCGCUCCCCCUCCGCCUCGGCGUACCUGACCGUGCAGUACCCAGCCCGUGUCCUCAACAUGCCCCCUGUAAUUUACGUGCCCGUGGGGAUCCAUGGCUACAUCCGCUGCCCUGUGGACGCAGAACCACCGGCCACCGUGGUCAAAUGGAACAAGGACGGCCGUCCCCUGCAGGUUGAGAAGAACCUGGGUUGGACCCUGAUGGAGGAUGGCUCCAUUCGAAUUGAGGAGGCCACAGAGGAGGCUCUUGGCACUUACACCUGUGUGCCUUACAACACCCUGGGGACCAUGGGCCAGUCUGCCCCUGCGAGGCUUGUCCUGAAGGACCCCCCCUAUUUCACGGUGCUACCAGGCUGGGAGUACAGGCAGGAGGCCGGCCGGGAGCUGCUUAUCCCCUGUGCUGCUGCAGGGGACCCCUUUCCUGUCAUCACGUGGAGGGAGGUAGGGAAGCCCAGCAGAAGCAAGCACAGUGCCCUGCCCAGUGGGAGCCUGCAGUUCCGUGCCCUGAGUAAGGAGGACCACGGGGAGUGGGAAUGUGUCGCCACCAACGUGGUCACGAGCAUCACUGCCAGCACCCACCUCACCGUCAUCGGCACCAGCCCCCAUGCCCCGGGCAGUGUCCGGGUCCAGGUCUCCAUGACAACUGCCAACGUGUCCUGGGAACCAGCCUAUGAUGGAGGCUACGAGCAGACAUUCUCAGUUUGGAUGAAGCGGGCACAGUUUGGGCCCCAUGACUGGCUGUCCUUGCCAGUGCCGCCAGGACCCAGCUGGCUGCUGGUGGACACCCUGGAGCCUGAGACAGCGUACCAGUUCAGCGUCCUGGCCCAGAACAAGCUGGGAACCAGCGCCUUCAGUGAGGUGGUCACUGUGAACACUUUAGCAUUCCCUAUUACAACUCCAGAACCCCUGGUGCUGGUCACCCCACCGAGGUGCCUCAUAGCCAAUCGGACUCAGCAGGGUGUGCUCCUGUCCUGGCUUCCGCCUGCCAACCACAGCUUUCCCAUCGACCGCUACAUCAUGGAGUUCCGUGUCGCAGAGCGCUGGGAGUUGCUCGACGAUGGCAUCCCCGGCACCGAAGGAGAGUUCUUUGCCAAGGAUCUGUCACAGGACACGUGGUACGAGUUCCGGGUUCUGGCCGUCAUGCAGGAUCUGAUCAGCGAGCCCAGCAACAUCGCCGGCGUCUCCAGCACAGACAUCUUCCCGCAGCCGGACCUGACCGAGGACGGGCUGGCGCGGCCUGUGCUGGCGGGAAUCGUAGCUACCAUCUGCUUCUUGGCAGCUGCCAUCCUGUUCAGCACCCUGGCUGCCUGCUUUGUCAACAAGCAGCGCAAGCGUAAGCUCAAGCGC
rnacentral:sRNA from 1 species